rnacentral:rRNA from 1 species
UACGGAGGGGGCUAGCGUUGUUCGGAAUUACUGGGCGUAAAGCGCACGUAGGCGGACUGUUAAGUCGGGGGGGAAAUCCUGGGGCUCAACCUCAGAAUUGCCUCCGAUACUGGCAGUCUCGAGUGGGGGAGAGGUGAGUGGAAUUCCCAGUGUAGAGGUGAAAUUCGUAGAUAUUGGGAAGAACACCAGUGGCGAAGGCGGCUCACUGGCCCGUAACUGACGCUGAGGUGCGAAGGCGUGGGGAGCAAACAGG